rnacentral:rRNA from 1 species
UGAGUAACCUGCCCUGGACUUUGGGAUAACCCUCGGAAACGGGGGCUAAUACCGGAUAUGACAUGCUCUCGCAUGGGGGUGUGUGGAAAGUUUUUCGGUCUGGGAUGGGCUCGCGGCCUAUCAGCUUGUUGGUGGGGUGAUGGCCUACCAAGGCGACGACGGGUAGACGGCCUGAGAGGGCGACCGGCCACACUGGGACUGAGACACGGCCCAGACUCCUACGGGAGGCA